AUGUCUUCUUUUGUAGUUAAGUUCAUCUUCUAAACGAAUGAAGUGGUAGCAUGCUAUUUUUUCUCAAAAAAUAAUAAAAUAUUAUAAAGAAGUAAACAUUCAUGUAUAAAUCUAUUUUUUUAGCAUAUUCAUAUAUAAAUCAAGAAGACUGACCGUCUCUAGAGCAAGUGGCAAAGGGCUUGGUAAUUGGUACUCGAGGUCCCAAGUUCGAAUUCUAGUUGAUUCAUAUUUUCAGCUAAGUUUAUUUCUAAAUGAAAUAAACGAAACGGGUAGCGUGCUACCUGUUGGCUUAAAUGUGCCAGCAUCCUGCCCUGUGGCGGGAGGCCAUGUGGGCCGAAUCAUGUUCGAAAUGGCGUGAGGCUGGGUUGGGCCGAGUCAUAUUCGAAGUGACGUGAGGCCAGGUGGGCCGAGUUACAAUCAAGACCCGUGGGCGCUGUUUCUGUACGCUUUAAGUGAAUUGGUUGCGUAUUUCUAACAGCUCGAGCUUUUGGAAUUAAUGGUUAGCGCCUAUGCAGGUGCUGGAGGGGGGAUUGUUGGCUUAAAUGAGCCAGCAUCCUGCCUUGUUGCGGGAGGCCAUGUGGGCCGAGUCAUGUUCGAAAUGGCGUGAGACUGGGUUGGGCCGAGUCAUGUUCGAAGUGGAGUGAGGCCAGAUGGGCCGAGUCACAAUCGAGACCCGUGGGCGCUGUUUCUGUACGCUUUAAGUGAUUUGGUUGCGUAUUUCUAACAGCUCGAGCUUUUGGGAUUAAUGGUUAGCAUCAACGAUCCGACACUACCAAUCUCUCUCUCUCUCUCUCUCUCUCUCUCUCUCUCUCUCUAUAUAUAUAUAUAUAUAUAUAUUGAGCUAGAAUACUUUUAGAAGCACCAACCCAUUGGUGCUUCUAAGUUUCUAGCCCUUAGAUCUACUCCUUAAUUAUUAAUAUCCCUUGGAUCAAACAUUAUUCCACCUACUACCACCUACCACCAUCAUCUCAACCCUACAUCUUUUCAUCCAAUGGUUAAAAACUCAAAAGCACCACCCCUUUGGUGCUUUUGAGAGUAUUCUAGCUCAUAUAUAUAUAUAUAUAUAUAUAUAUAUAUAUAUAUAUAUAUAUCUCUCUCUCUCUCUCUCUCUCUCUCUCUCUCUCUCUCUCUCUCU
rnacentral:lncRNA from 1 species